rnacentral:rRNA from 1 species
CAGUGGGGAAUAUUGCACAAUGGGCGCAAGCCUGAUGCAGCCAUGCCGCGUGUAUGAAGAAGGCCUUCGGGUUGUAAAGUACUUUCAGCAGUGAGGAAGGUGGAUAUGUUAAUAGCAUAUUCAUUUGACGUUAGCUGCAGAAGAAGCACCGGCUAACUCCGUGCCAGCAGCCGCGGUAAUACGGAGGGUGCGAGCGUUAAUCGGAAUUACUGGGCGUAAAGCGCAUGCAGGUGGUUUGUUAAGUCAGAUGUGAAAGCCCGGGGCUCAACAUCGGAAUUGCAUUUGAAACUGGCAAACUAGAGUACUGUAGAGGGGGUAGAAUUUCAGGUGUAGCGGUGAAAUGCGUAGAGAUCUGAAGGAAUACCGGUGGCGAAGGCGGCCCCCUGGACAGAUACUGACACUCAGAUGCGAAAGCGUGGGGAGCAAACAGGAUUAGAUACCCUGGUAG